UGGGGAUCAGAUGGUGAUGAAUGGGGAAGAGCAGGUAACAGGAAGACCAAUGAGGAGGCUCCUGCAAUAAUCCAGGAGAUAGAUGGAGCUACAAUCUGCCAUUCCAAGAACAAAAGUAAAACAAAGACUACACACUGAUGCAACUCCCUCUCAUGUUAAAGCACUGGGAAUUGGGCAAAACUGAUCUAGACAGAGAAUGGAGUCACCUUGCAAGACCAUCAUGAGGUUCUCUGCCCAGAGCUCUGUAACAGGUCUUUGGAUAAACUCAACCAAUUGUCAACUAGAACAUUUUUCAAUCUACCUAUAACCCGGAAGCCACGCCCCUCCUCCCCCUUGCUUCGAGUUGUCCUGCCUUUCUGAACUGAACCAAUGUAUUUCUUAAAUGUAUUUGAUUGAAUUCUCAUGUCUCCCUAAAAUGUAUUAAUUCUACAAUUAAUUUUUAUGGUUUACUCAGUAGUAAGACCAAAACAAAAGAAUGUUGUGAUAUGUAAAUAAAGCAAUGCCAAAAGCUAAA